rnacentral:misc_RNA from 1 species
UAAAACAACAUUUUUACGUAUAAAGUAACAGAGUUUGCAGGAGGGGUACAUGAUACAUACAUCAAAUGGUAGAGAGAUGCAAAGACAAAGUUCUUUUUAUGCCAUUUUCAAGUUGUAAAAGAAGAGGGAAAAUUUUGUGGUGGCAGAAGGAUCAAUCAUCACCACCUUCUUUCUUCUUCUUUUGCUUUCAAAGAAUUCACUGGAAAUUUUGAUUCAGCUUCCUUCUUUUGCCUAUUGCUUCCCUAGUUCAGGGUCUUCUUUUAUGCUUAGUCUAUCAUUUCAAAGCCUCCAUCUUCGUUGGUAA